UGGGGAAUAUUGGACAAUGGGCGCAAGCCUGAUCCAGCCAUGCCGCGUGAGUGAUGAAGGCCCUAGGGUUGUAAAGCUCUUUCACCGGUGAAGAUAAUGACGGUAACCGGAGAAGAAGCCCCGGCUAACUUCGUGCCAGCAGCCGCGGUAAUACGAAGGGGGCUAGCGUUGUUCGGAUUUACUGGGCGUAAAGCGCACGUAGGCGGACUUUUAAGUCAGGGGUGAAAUCCCGGGGCUCAACCCCGGAACUGCCUUUGAUACUGGAAGUCUUGAGUAUGGUAGAGGUGAGUGGAAUUCCGAGUGUAGAGGGGAAAUUCGUAGAUAUUCGGAGGAACACCAGUGGCGAGGGCGGCUCACUGGACCAUUACUGACGCUGAGGUGCGAAAGCGUGGGGAGCAAACAGG
rnacentral:rRNA from 1 species